rnacentral:rRNA from 1 species
UGGGGAAUAUUGCACAAUGGGCGAAAGCCUGAUGCAGCGACGCCGCGUGAGGGAUGACGGCCUUCGGGUUGUAAACCUCUUUCAGCAGGGAAGAAGCGAAAGUGACGGUACCUGCAGAAGAAGCGCCGGCUAACUACGUGCCAGCAGCCGCGGUAAUACGUAGGGCGCAAGCGUUGUCCGGAAUUAUUGGGCGUAAAGAGCUCGUAGGCGGUUAGUCGCGUCUGCUGUGAAAACUCGAGGCUCAACCUCGGGCUUGCAGUGGGUACGGGCUGACUAGAGUGCGGUAGGGGUGACUGGAAUUCCUGGUGUAGCGGUGGAAUGCGCAGAUAUCAGGAGGAACACCGAUGGCGAAGGCAGGUCACUGGGCCGCAACUGACGCUGAGGAGCGAAAGCAUGGGGAGCGAACAGGAUUAGAUACCCUGGUAGUCCAUGCCGUAAACGUUGGGCACUAGGUGUGGGGUCCAUUUCCACGGAUUCCGUGCCGCAGCAAACGCAUUAAGUGCCCCGCCUGGGGAGUACGGCCGCAAGGCUAAAACUCAAAUGAAUUGACGGGGUCAUAGCUGUUUCCCU